rnacentral:rRNA from 1 species
UACGAAGGGGGCUAGCGCUGCUCGGAAUGACUGGGCGUAAAGGGCGCGUAGGCGGUUUGUAAAGUCAGGUGUGAAAUUCCCGGGCUCAACCUGGGGGCUGCACUUGAUACGUAUGGACUGGAGUGGGGAAGAGGGUCGUGGAAUUCCCAGUGUAGAGGUGAAAUUCGUAGAUAUUAGGAAGAACACCGGUGGCGAAGGCGGCGACCUGGUCCUUGACUGACGCUGAGGCGCGAAAGCGUGGGGAGCAAACAGG